AUCGCCUCCUGACUACUUACUAUAGGAGGUCUCGCCUGCCCUGUGAUCAUGUAUUUAACGGCCGCGGUAUCCUAACCGUGCAAAGGUAGCGCAAUCACUUGUCUUUUAAAUGAAGACCUGUAUGAAUGGCAUAACGAGGGCUUAACUGUCUCCCUUCCCCAGUCAAUGAAAUUGAUCCCCCCGUGCAGAAGCGGGGAUACUAAUAUAAGACGAGAAGACCCUGUGGAGCUUUAGACACAAAAAUAGUGCCUGUAAAGAAAACUUACCUAACAAGCCCAAACAAAAGGACCCCCUAUUUUGCUGUCUUCGGUUGGGGCGACCACGGGGUAAUAACAAACCCCCACGAGGAAUAAAAAAACCUUUUUAAACUAAGAGUGUCAACUCAAAGUAACAGAACAUCUGACCUAAAAUGACCCGGCUUACGCCGAUCAACGGAAACAGUUACCCCAGGGAUAACAGCGCAAUCCUUUCCCAGAGCCCAUAUCGACGAAAGGGUUUACGACCUCGAUGUUGGAUCAGGACAUCCUAAUGGUGCAGCCGCUAUUAAGGGUUCGUUUGUUCAACGAUUAAAGUCCUACGUGAU
rnacentral:rRNA from 1 species